AUUGUCAUAUGUGAACUUUUAGACAAUGAAUGAGCCAUAUCCUAUGUGGUUCAUGGAAGGUGCGGCGGAAAACAAGAAAACAAGAAGCAAGUGGAUUUAAGCAAGUGGAUUCUAGUCUAUAUCAAGUUGCUUGUCCUGCAAUCAUGGAUCCAAAGCAGUUGCUCAUAAGUUGAUUUGGAGAUAUAAGAUUAGAGUCGUUAACAAACUUUAGGAACCCAAAGUAACUCAUUUUAAAACAACAGGAUUGAAUGCAGAUAUUAUGCAAAACAGAAGGGGUUCAUAGUAAUAUACCCAUA
rnacentral:misc_RNA from 1 species